AUUGAACGCUGGCGGCAGGCCUAACACAUGCAAGUCGAACGGUAACAGGGAUCAGCUUGCUGAUUCGCUGACGAGUGGCGGACGGGUGAGUAAUGUCUGGGAAACUGCCUGAUGGAGGGGGAUAACUACUGGAAACGGUAGCUAAUACCGCAUAACGUGGCAAGACCAAAGAGGGGGACCUUCGGGCCUCUUGCCAUCGGAUGUGCCCAGAUGGGAUUAGCUAGUAGGUGGGGUAACGGCUCACCUAGGCGACGAUCCCUAGCUGGUCUGAGAGGAUGACCAGCCACACUGGAACUGAGACACGGUCCAGACUCCUACGGGAGGCAGCAGUGGGGAAUAUUGCACAAUGGGCGCAAGCCUGAUGCAGCCAUGCCGCGUGUAUGAAGAAGGCCUUCGGGUUGUAAAGUACUUUCAGCGGGGAGGAAGGGAGUAAAGUUAAUACCUUUGCUCAUUGACGUUACCCGCAGAAGAAGCACCGGCUAACUCCGUG
rnacentral:rRNA from 1 species